GGCUCAGGAUGAACGCUAGCUACAGGCUUAACACAUGCAAGUCGAGGGGCAGCAUGAUUGAAGCUUGCUUCAAUUGAUGGCGACCGGCGCACGGGUGAGUAACACGUAUCCAACCUUCCGUACACUCAGGGAUAGCCUUUUCGAAAGAAAGAUUAAUACCUGAUGGUAUCUUAAUGACACAUGUAAUUAAGAUUAAAGAUUUAUCGGUAAACGAUGGGGAUGCGUUCCAUUAGGUAGUAGGCGGGGUAACGGCCCACCUAGCCAACGAUGGAUAGGGGUUCUGAGAGGAAGGUCCCCCACAUUGGAACUGAGACACGGUCCAAACUCCUACGGGAGGCAGCAGUGAGGAAUAUUGGUCAAUGGGCGAGAGCCUGAACCAGCCAAGUAGCGUGAAGGAUGAAGGUUCUAUGGAUUGUAAACUUCUUUUAUAAGGGAAUAACAGACGUUACGUGUAGCGUUUUGCAUGUACCUUAUGAAUAAGCAUCGGCUAACUCCGUG
rnacentral:rRNA from 1 species